rnacentral:piRNA from 1 species
UCUUCCUUAUGUCCAGCACCUGUGUGUCUA